GUAGGGGUGCAAGCGUUAAUCGGAAUUACUGGGCGUAAAGCGUGCGCAGGGCGGUUUUGUAAGUCUGUCGUGAAAGCCCCGGGGCUCAACCUGGGAAUUGCGAUGGAGACCGCAAGGCUUGAAUCUGGCAGAGGGGGGUAGAAUUCCACGUGUAGCAGUGAAAUGCGUAGAGAUGUGGAGGAACACCGAUGGCGAAGGCAGCCCCCUGGGUCAAGAUUGACGCUCAUGCACGAAAGCGUGGGGAGCAAACAGGAUUAGAUACCCUGGUAGUCCACGCCCUAAACGAUGUCUACUAGUUGUCGGGUUUUAAUUAACUUGGUAACGCAGCUAACGCGUGAAGUAGACCGCCUGGGGAGUACGGUCGCAAGAUUA
rnacentral:rRNA from 1 species